rnacentral:rRNA from 1 species
GACGAACGCUGGCGGCGUGCUUAACACAUGCAAGUCGAACGGGUCUGCCCUGUUUUUUGCGGGGUGGGUCAGUGGCGAACGGGUGAGUAACACGUGAGUAACCUGCCUCUCACUUCUGGAUAACCGCUUGAAAGGGUGGCUAAUACGGGGUGUUCUGGCUGUGCCGCAUGGUGUGGCUGGGAAAGAUUCACUUUUGUGGUGUUUUGGUGGGGGAUGGGCUCGCGGCCUAUCAGCUUGUUGGUGGGGUGAUGGCCUGCCAAGGCUUUGACGGGUAGCCGGCCUGGGCGGGUGGGCGGUCACACUGGGACUGAGAUGCGGAGCAGACUCCUGCGGGCGGCAGCAGUGGGGGGUAUUGCACGAUGGGAGGAAGGCUGAUGCAGCGACGUCGCGUGAGGGAUGGAGGCCUUCGGGUUGUGAACCUCUUUCGCCGGUGAAGAAGGUCCUGCUCUUUGUGGUGGGGUUGACGGUAGCCGGGUUAUGAAGCGCCGGCUAACUACGUG